UCUGCUGUUCUGAGGAACUUUGGCUGUUAUUCAAUAACCGUUUCUUUCAGGUUUUGCAUUGAACCAGCCUCUCCUGCAAGGCCAUUUCAGGAAAUGCAGGUCAAAGGAAUUCUGCAGACAGUUGUCUUCACUUAUCAGUCCAUUUAGGGGCCAUUCUCUCAUGAUGUGGGGUAACAGGUUCUACUGAAUAUGGCUGAAAGGAGCAGACUGGGCUCCACCAUGAGCCCAACAUGGCCCACCGUCACAUUCUGAUGAGAAAUAGCGCAAGGAAAAGGCAGGCAGGCUAGGGUCACCCUCCCAACCCCAACUCAGCUGCUCCCUAAAGGCUCAGAGCCUGAAGCAGAUGAUAAAAUUCUCUCUGAAGAGUGAAUGACAAACUGGGUCCCUGGGUCCUCCUAUCUCAUGCUAGACAUUCCAUUUUUCUGUUUUCCUUCGGACAAAGGUCACAGUACAAUCAUGGGGCACCAGAGGCGCAUAAAGGUCGACAAGCCAGGUUUUCCUCUCCCACAGUCACGGAGUUUCAUCCUUGUGUGCUUCCUGCCUCUCGUGCGGUUAGGAGUGGCCGAGUGACCCCCUGGGCUGGGGCUGCUGGAGCUGGAGCAGAGCUCACGGCUGGACGCAAAGCUGCAGACGGGAAACUGCCACCACCUUGAAGCCUAUGUCGUCUGGGUCACAGCGGCCUCACUCGCUAACGCGUGGGGCUCAAGGAUCCUGACACAUCUACCGUCAGGUUCCUCCCAGUCAGGGCUCCUCUCAGCCGCUUCUCUUCAAAGUCAAGAAUGCAGCCUGGUCAGUUCUUUUUCUAAAAAAGACCGGGCAGGGAUCCCUACUAGGAGUCAGCCUCCUACCUUGAGUGACACGGUUCAGGGCAAUUGGGGAAGGGCAGCUCUCCCGCGGAACAGCUGGAGGGGUGAGUGUCACCAGCACUGAGCAAAGCUUCAGCCCCCAACGUGAACUGGAAGUGAAGCGCAGAGACCCUGCGCAGGCAGGCCCAAGGGCCCGGUCCCUGGAGGGUGCAGGGUGACUGACAUCAGACUGUCUUCCUGGGUAAGCCUCCCGAGGACCAGGAGGGGUGGUUAGCAAGGAGGCUAGGGGCUGUGGAGGUGACACCAGGGGCAGAGGGGGACCUGGGGAAGUGAGGGAGUGAGAGGUCACGGGGACUGAAAGCGCGACUUCCGUUCUGUUCUAUUAAGUGUCGGGCAUGGCAGGGCCCAAUAAACACACUCCUGUUCCCCAUCCCAGCCCCAGCCUAGGAGUCCAGAUGGUCAGCAAAGUGGACAAAACAUAGGCUUUGUGACAGACAAGGGCCUGGUUCCUGUUGGUGGAGUUCACUCCGGUCUCUUCCAUCAAUGGGGCCAAAGGACUGUUUUGUCCAAACCAGCCUGACUGGCUCUUCUGUGAUUUGGCAGCACAGUGAGUGGGGACAGGGCGGGCUGAGUGAGACGGGGAAAGGCGACCACGCUGGUUUUCCGAGCCCUGGCCCCUCCCGCCCGGCCCCGAGCCGGCAUGGCGCAGCGCAGCACGGCCCUCCCGAGACGCCGGGGGCAGGGGGCACGGAGGCAGGCGGAUAGGCAGCGACUCCUCCAGAGGCUGUUUUUCCUUUUUAUUGAGCAACACAGAUUGAGACCAAAUGACCCUCCCAGUCAGGUUCAGGUUUCGAGGGGCGGAGAUCAGGAGGAGAUAAGGACAGCAGCAGUGCUCACAGUCUGGAGAGGACGACAGAGCGCGCACGAGACAGCGAGGGACAGAGCAGGUGGCCGUCCAGGCCUUAGGCGCUGUGACUGCAUGUUCCGCGUGCGCACAGCCCUGACUCGGGGCAGAAGUGGGACCAGAAAGCACCAGGGGCUCUUUACCCCGAGUGGCACUUCCUACACAAGAACGUGUGCUUGGAGGCCUCGCCCAUCUUCCGGAGACCAAGUCGUGCUGCCCACCUGUGAGAGCGCAGCUGUCAUCCGGGGUCGUUCCCAAGCCCCAGAACUAAACGUCUGUCACUGCCCAGUACAGGUCACUCCACCAAGACAUCCUGAAGUCUGCAGAACCGGACAAGAGGAGGAGAGGACAGGCUUCCACUCUGCUGAGCCAUCGGAAGACAACGAGGGUGGAGGGCGGAGGCUGCGGCUCAGUUCUUCAGCUGAGACACUUCGUACAGGUAAGCGGCCAGCAUCUUGGUUCCUUCGAUGUAGUUGUGCCUGACAGGAGGAACAGUCACCACGUUGGCUGGUGUCCCGAGGCCCGGGCACACAUGCUGCAUUCUCUCUGGAACUGAUGUCCCACCGUCCUGGCCCCAAGUGCCGCUUGCCUUGGUUCUCAACUGCAGGUCCAGCCUGACGCCCCACCAGGGACCAGCAGCAGUCCUGGCCUACCAGAACGCGCGGGGGCUCACCCAGCACUUGGUGUGAAGCGGCUGCCCUGGACCAUGGCUCCUGCCUGUCUGCGUACGUGUGUCCUGACACCCAGGUCUCCGUCCUCUCCCCCGUCCCUGCCCACCCCACGUACCCCAAGAUGGCCCCUCUUUUCUGUCCUCACCUGUUGAGCUUUUCAUUCUGGGAGUGGGCUCCGUCGUCAGCUGACCCCACGGGCAACAGCAUGACGUUCUUGCCCGUGGCCUCCUGGAAUGUCAAAGUCACAGGAAUACUGCCGCCUUCCCUGGUCAAGUCUGG